UGCCAAGACCAAGAAGCUGGUUUUAUCCAGG
rnacentral:piRNA from 2 species